AUGUGGAGCGCUUAGAAGUGAGAAUGCCGGUGUGAGUAGCGAAAGACGGGUGAGAAUCCCGUCCACCGAUUGACUAAGGUUUCCAGAGGAAGGCUCGUCCGCUCUGGGUUAGUCGGGUCCUAAGCUGAGGCCGACAGGCGUAGGCGAUGGAUAACAGGUUGAUAUUCCUGUACCACCUAUAAUCGUUUUAAUCGAUGGGGGGACGCAGUAGGAUAGGCGAAGCGUGCGAUUGGAUUGCACGUCUAAGCAGUAAGGCUGAGUAUUAGGCAAAUCCGGUACUC
rnacentral:rRNA from 1 species